rnacentral:pre_miRNA from 1 species
GUCCCAGAUUGCAAGAGGGAUGUCUGUCUGCCUGUUUAGACCCGACCCCACAGGGAUCGGGCCUAAACAGGCAGACAGACAUCCCCUGAGGGU